rnacentral:lncRNA from 1 species
AGCCGCAGCCUGUGAUUGCACAGCCUUCCCUUGAUGGUACCUUUACCCUGGCAUGUGAGCUAUCAGCCGACUGGGGAUGCUUUCAAAUGAGACAGGAAACAGUUUAGGGGACAAUGAGAAACUCUGGUCUCAGUGGGAUGGAAAUAGAGCCUGGAAGAAAUGGGAAACUUUAAUAUCUGGAUGGAUUCCUUAAACAGGUAACAGAAACUAUAGCCUGAAAGCCAAACUGAUUUUGAUUGACAAGAACCGGACUUUAAGGGGGAAAUAAUAAAAUACAUUCUUAGGGACUAAAGAAGAUGGGGCUUGACUAUGAAGAACUAAGCUUAGAACACUAUGCACGAGAUUUGUACCAAACACAUUAAAGGAAAAAGAAAAUCUAGACGACAUCAUAAUUUCCCCGCCACGCAAAAAAGAAAUGUGAAGGUAGAAUUCGGCUGAUUUGAGAAUGCUGGGGGAAGACGGAAA